UACAGUUUGGUCUCUUCUCAUGUCUCCGGGUCGACCUGCUGAACUUUGCUGAAUCUGGUGCCUAAUAUAGGGGAAAUCUUACAGAUCUGGGGGCUCGUCCGGGAUACAUCUGAUCAGAUACUUUGGGGGCCCCCACAUCAGCUAGCACCUCCACGCAGCAUAACUACUAGAAGGAUAAGCAUGAAGUGGCUAUGGACAUUGGGACUGUUUCUCUUUCUUGUUGCUCAAGCUAAUGCAGCCAGGCUGAAACGCUGGACACAUGAUCAUGAAUUUGGAUGGGCAGAGGAUGGGGCUGACAAUCCAAUUGAAAUAAUAUGUGGUAUCAAUAUGUGAAAGUUUUAGCUAGGUCAUAUAAUGUAUCUGGUUGUUAUGUAUGUGUGUGCGCAUCGGAGGUCUGAAGGUCAACGUCUGGUUUCAGUCUUGCAGG
ensembl:processed_transcript